CCCGAUCGUCCGCCCCCUGCCUCCACCCCGGUGCCCCAACCCCUUCGGAUUUCCCGCCGCCCUGAACUCGGGGCAGCUCGCGAUCCCCGUCGCGCGUUCUUUUGAUCCCCGCCCCAGCUUUUCCCGCGUCCCGGAGGCCUGGCACACAAGGCGCACACUCUGGUUCCUCCCUUCCCCCACCCCCACCCCCCCACCCGAACCCCCACUGAGAUAAUGGGAAUGAUUUCUCCAGAUCUGGUCCCGGAUGAGAUGAAGUGGUUCGUUGACUGCAUGACCUUGGGCAGCCCCCCCACCUCUUUUAUGAUGGAAAGCCAGACACUGUUAAACCCGGGGAUUACCACGAUGAGAGAGAUACAGUGGCCGCUCCCUUGGAGUAAUCUACAACCGACUGCGGAGCCGCGCAGAACCCGACUUUCUGACCAAUGCCUGGGGAUUCUGCUUUCUCCCUUUCUCUUGGGGCUUAGAUGGUAGUUUUUUUUUGGGGGGGGAGGCACCCGGAGGAGUGCCUUCACGGUACGAAGCCACACCUGAAUCAGGUGUGGAACCAGACAGAGUGUCCUUAGAAAGACCGCUGCCAGAUACCUGUGUGAGCAUGGCUGCCAUCUGUAGAUUUCCCAGAAGAUUCCCCUGGGAGAGCCUUUAAGAGAGGCAGUAGACAGAAGUAAAAGGAUGUAGAGAAUCCAGGAGAAUUUAGUCAUAUGUGAAGAUGUUAUGGUAGAGUUCCUGGUGGAGAGGAUUCUGUGCUUUAUACCUCCGAAAAAAAUAUGGCUGAGGAGUUGGGAAUAUGCUGAGUCAUGGGGCUGGGGAGGAAGGGAGGACCCAUGACAUUUAAGGCACAGAUCCCGGGAAACUGAGGUCUUUAUGCUGAGUGCAUUCAGGGUGUGUGAAGGGGCAAGGAAGAAAUUUGAGACCGCCACACAAGACCCUUAGACAUCCUGCCUUAUAAAGGACUCGGAAUGCCAUAAUAGGUCACAGUGGAGAAAAGACAUCAGGGAUCCAUAGAAAUCCCUGAUGGGUGUCAAGCGUGCACUUGGAGACAGACCACUUAAGGGGAUCAGACCGGUAGAGAUGCUCCCAAGUGACACAUGCAGGCUGACUGAUGAGCUACCUGCUUUGGCCGGGUCACCUGGCCGCCAACCGCACACCCCCCUGACCUGAGUUAAACAUUCCCUGCAGCCUGCCAGAGACUGGGUUGCUGCCUUGCCAAGAGCUAUCCUGGUAGGGUUAUUGAAAGAGCUUUGACCCUUUUCAGACUCCGUGAGAAAAAUGAAGCCCAAGAGAGCAGAGACGUGUUUGCCUUUCCUCCGGGGCGGCAGCCAGCUCCUUGCAGCUGGGAGUGUCCAGAGACACUUUCGACAUUCCAGGCAUCCUGUGCCUGCAUGUCUGUCUGUGGGUGCCUCCUGGCGACACCACACCUGAGCCAGAACGACGCUGGAGAUCACUUUUCCCUGUGGCCACUCUUCUGCUCUGGCUGCAGGCAUUUGGCUGGCUGGUGACUUGAGGAUCCUUUACUGGAAUCAUCAUCCUUGUCUUCUCAGAUGGGAGUCUUGGGACUCAUCACAGAAUUCCCUAGCAAGCUGAACUUCUCAUCACCUGAACAGUCCGUGAAAAGGAGUUGGAAUUUCUUCCUCCAUAUGCCCCUUUAUGUCUAGCAGGUGCCUAAUAAAUAUUUCCCAAAUGAA